rnacentral:rRNA from 1 species
CCUACGGGAGGCAGCAGUGAGGAAUAUUGGUCAAUGGGCGCGAGCCUGAACCAGCCAAGUAGCGUGAAGUAUGACUGCCCUACGGGUUGUAAACUUCUUUUAUAAAGGAAUAAAGUGAGGCACGUGUGCCUUUUUGUAUUUACUUUAUGAAUAAGGAUCGGCUAACUACGUGCCAGCAGCCUCGGUAAUACGGAGGAUCCGCGCGUUAUCCGGAUUUAUUGGGUUUAAAGGGAGCGUAGAUGGGUUGUUAAGUUCGUUGUGAAAGUUUGCGGUUCAACCGUAAAAUUGCAAUUGAUACUGGCAGCCUUGAGUACAGUUGAGGUAGGCGGAAUUCGUGGUGUAGCGGUGAAAUGCUUAGAUAUCACGAAGAACUCCGAUUGCGAAGGCAGCCUACUAAACUGCCACUGACAUUGAUGCUCGAAAGUGUGGGUAUCAAACAGGAUUAGAUACCCGAGUAGUC